rnacentral:rRNA from 1 species
CCUACGAGUGGCAGCAGUGAGGAAUAUUGGUCAAUGGGCGCGCGCCUGAACCAGCCAAGUAGCGUGAAGGAUGACUGCCCUACGGGUUGUAAACUUCUUUUAUAAAGGAAUAAAGUGAGGCACGUGUGCCUUUUUGUAUUUACUUUAUGAAUAAGGAUCGGCUAACUCCGUGCCAGCCGCCGCGGUAAUACGGAGGAUCCGAGCGUUAUCCGGAUUUAUUGGGUUUAAAGGGAGCUUAGAGGGGUGGUUAAGUCAGUUGUGAAAGUGUGCGGAUCAACCGUAAAAUUGCAAUUGAUACUGGCAGCCUGGAGUACAGUUGAGGUAGGCGGAAUUCGUGGUGUAGCGGUGAAAUGCUUAGAUAUCACGAAGAACUCCGAUUGCGAAGGCAGCCUACUAAACUGCCACUGACAUUGAUGCUCGAAAGUGUGGGUAUCAAACAGGAUUAGAGACCCCUGUAGUC